AUUGAACGCUGGCGGCAGGCCUAACACAUGCAAGUCGAGCGAGUGGCGGACGGGUGAGUAAUGUCUGGGAAACUGCCCGAUAGAGGGGGAUAACUACUGGAAACGGUAGCUAAUACCGCAUACCAUCGGAUGUGCCCAUAUGGGAUUAGCUAGUAGGUGGGGUAAUGGCUCACCUAGGCGACGAUCCCUAGCUGGUCUGAGAGGAUGACCAGCAACACUGGGACUGAGACACGGUCCAGACUCCUACGGGAGGCAGCAGUGGGGAAUAUUGCACAAUGGGCGCAAGCCUGAUGCAGCCAUGCCGCGUGUAUGAAGAAGGCCUUAGGGUUGUAAAGUACUUUCAGUGAGGAGGCGUUACCGGCAGAAGAAGCACCGGCUAACUCCGUGCCAGCAGCCGCGGUAAUAC
rnacentral:rRNA from 1 species